rnacentral:rRNA from 1 species
AGAGUUUGAUCAUGGCUCAGGAUGAACGCUGGCGGCGUGCCUAACACAUGCAAGUCGAACGAACCUUUUUAGAUUCUAGACGCUAGACUCUCGACGCUUGUACGAGUAUCGAGUGUCCAGUGUCUUGUCUCGAUUGGUUAGUGGCGGACGGGUGAGUAACACGUUAGUACCUGCCCUCUAGUGGGGAAUAACUCGGCGAAAGUCGGGCUAAUACCGCAUGUGAUCGCGUGCGAUCAAAGACUUCGGUCGCUAGAGGAGGGGCUUGCGUCUGAUUAGCUUGUUGGUAGUGUAAUGGACUACCAAGGCGAUGAUCAGUAGCUGGUUCGAGAGGAUGACCAGCCACACUGGGACUGAGAUACGGCCCAGACUCCUACGGGAGGCAGCAGUGAGGAAUCUUCCACAAUGGACGAAAGUCUGAUGGAGCAACGCCGCGUGCAGGAUGACGGCCUUCGGGUUGUAAACUGCUUUUAAUCGGGAAGAUUAUGACGGUACCGAUUGAAUAAGGACCGGCUAACUACGUGCCAGCAGCCGCGGUAAUACGUAGGGUCCAAGCGUUAUCCGGAAUUACUGGGCGUAAAGCGUGCGUAGGUGGCGCGUUAAGUGAGAUGCGAAAUCUUGUGGCUCAACCAUAUAGACUGUAUCUCAUACUGGCGUGCUAGAGGAUGGCAGAGGCUAGUGGAAUUACUGGUGUAGCAGUGAAAUGCGUAGAUAUCAGUAGGAACACCAAUGGCGAAGGCAGCUAGCUGGGCCAUUUCUGACGCUAAGGCACGAAAGCGUGGGGAGCGAACAGGAUUAGAUACCCUAGUAGUCC